UCCUACGGGAGGCAGCAGUGAGGAAUAUUGGUCAAUGGGCGGAAGCCUGAACCAGCCAAGUAGCGUGCAGGAUGACGGCCCUACGGGUUGUAAACUGCUUUUAUACGGGAAUAACGCGCCUUACGUGUAGGGCUUUGCAUGUACCGUAUGAAUAAGGACCGGCUAAUUCCGUGUCAGCAGCCGCGGUAAUACGGAGGAUGCGAGCGUUAUCCGGAUUUAUUGGGUUUAAAGGGUGCGUAGGCGGAUUUUUAAGUCAGCGGUAAAAUGUCCGGGCUCAACCCGGGCCGGCCGUUGAAACUGGGGAU
rnacentral:rRNA from 1 species